rnacentral:rRNA from 1 species
UACGGGGGGAGCAAGCGUUGUUCGGAUUUACUGGGCGUAAAGGGCGCGUAGGCGGCGCGGUAAGUAGGGUGUGAAACCCCUCGGCUCAACCGAGGAACUGCGCUCUAAACUACCGUGCUCGAGGGAGAUAGAGGUGAGCGGAACUUAGGGUGGAGCGGUGAAAUGCGUUGAUAUCCUAAGGAACACCGGUGGCGAAAGCGGCUCACUGGAUCUCUUCUGACGCUGAGGCACGAAAGCUAGGGUAGCGAACGGG